rnacentral:rRNA from 1 species
CAAAUAUUCAAAUGAGAACUUUGAAGACUGAAGUGGAGAAAGGUUCCGUUGGAACAUUGGUUGGCAACGGGUUAGUCGAUCCUAACUGGUACCUUAGCGGGAGUAAUAGCUCAGUUUAUUGAGCGUCCAGGAAAGGGAAUCCGGUUAAUAUUCCGGAACUUGGGUAUGGACUCACGGCAACGUAACUGAAUGUGGAGACGCUGGCACGGUCCCCGGGAGGAGUUAUCUUUUCUUUUUAACAGC